rnacentral:rRNA from 1 species
GUCUACGGCCGCGCCACCCUCAACACGCCCAAUCUCGUCUGAUCUCGGAAGUUAAGCAGGGUCAGGCCAGAUUAGUACUUGGAUGGGAGACUACCUAGGAAUACUGGGUGCUGUAGGCU